AUUUUAGAGCUGGGCACUCAGUUAUUCCAUGUGCAGUACCUAUCCUUCAGCAUCUAUGUAUCUACAACUUUUUCACAGGUAAGAGUGGAAACUUCCCCAGUCUUUGAGGACUAGGAACUCAUCUAUAAUGCAGGUCAAGUGAGAUGUGACAGGCACUAUCCAAGGUUAAAGGGAAUGACAGAAGUAACCAGGUGAGAACUUCCUUAUAAACUCAAAAUUAAUAUAUAUGUUAUACUUUUCCCUAGAAGGAAGAUGUUUUCUUUAUUAAUUUGUUCAUCUCUGACACAGGUACACUGAUUUCAUUGCAUGCCAGAGGCUGUCUGAUUUAAAAGAUGCAGAUACACUUGGGGAAACACAGACCAUGUAUAUUGGCUUUCAUUGUAGAAUCCAUUUUUUUUCCAGCAUAUCAUCUCCUCUAGGAAACAGGAAGGAUGGAUAUUAUGGGGUUGUGCAUUUUUAUAGCAUCACAUGGCAAACGUGUAUCCUCGAUAACAGCAACAACCACUGCCCUCUUCUUGGUUUUCUCCUGUCAUGAAAUACAAGGGUUGAGUUUGCUUUUUUAUUUGGCUUAAGUCAACAGCAAACAAAACUGUUGACCAUAGACAACAAAGAAGUUCUGGUUCCUUGAAGAGAAAGAUAACUAUUGGAUGGGUAAGCAAAAAGUGGAGGUUAGAGAAGCAACAAUUUCCCCACAAACAUAGCAUAAAAUGGGAGCAAUACACGAAACUGAAUUGCAGAUAGUUUAACAGUGACCAAAGUUAAACAUUGUCUUUAUGUAACUUCUUAAUAACUAGUGUAACUUUUUUUCACAGAUAUUACUGAGCCAGAAAUCAGCAGGAUUCAGUAAAUGUAUAAAGCCUUUCUGAGGAUAUUGAGAGCAUUCAGUCACAUUACAUUAGAAUAAAUUAUUUCCUAACAGUAUGAGUACUCCUAUCCUACAGUACAAAACACCGAUUGCCUGCUCAUCCUGGCUAGGACAUUAUUUCCAGUGCAGGAGAUGACUUAAUAUUGUUUUUUAAAUCUUGCUGUGACAUGUCAGAGGCCAAUUAGAUGGACUGUUGGUCUGACCUGGCAUGGUUAUUCUUAUAUCCCUUCUGAAGGUGAUUAAUUUUGUGUCUGUUUUAGCAUUGUCCUUCUCAUCACUUAGGCAUGUUUUUGAGCACAUAAAAAUUUAUUCUUUACUUCGCAUACCUUGGCUGCCCCUAUCCCAUUGCCCUCCACACCUUCUCUGGCAUUGUAAACACAUCACCUCUCCCCAGCACCCUUCCGUAUGUUUUCUCCUUAACCUUUGACACCUUUCAAGUCUGUGGACAACUCCUUAAGACACCCUUAAAGAAUAAAGCAUUAAUUCAUUUCCAUCUUUCUCUGCACCUUCAUACUACAGGCUCACCACUGUUGCAGGCUUGGCAGGGAUAGAAAGGAUGGCAAUAAAUGCAUUCAGGAUAUCCUGCCAUGUAGAAAAACGAGCAGCAUUUCAGAGGAAGGUUACUCUAAAUUCUGCUUAACAUAUCUGUAAAAUCUUUCCAAAGUAGGUAUCUGUCUGGUUUUCAAAUUCAGCCUUAAUUUGCCUCUUUUUCUUCUCUGGCUUUGAGACCCCAGGGUUGUCUCCCUCCUUGCACACCUGGAAGAGAUUCCUCAGAAAUGAUGCUCUGCUUCAGGUUUCCUCUCCCAGGCAGCCCUUGGGGACCAGGAUGCAGCUGGCCUCAGCUUGCACUACCCCACUGGUCCUGGCUCCCAUUUCAACCUCCCUGACAUUCCUGGCAAUGGAACCAUGUUGGAAACAGGCUUCUGGGCACCGUGCUCUAGGCAGUGCCUUCAAGGAUACAAACCACAGGUUUUGGUAGGCACAUGUGCUUGUGAAGGUCAAGGGACUGGCAGCAUCAGAAAUUGAAUUUCUGAAUACAUCCGCAGUCCAGGUAUAUUUCAGACAGAUGCUCUCAUUCCCAGACUGCCCUGCCAAUGACCUUAACCCCGAUUUGGAAGGACAACUCAAUCUACUAUAAAGAGGAAAGGUGAUUUAGUCUCCAGCCAUGCUGACAGAGUCUUGGACCUCUCUGAACACAGUUUGUCAUUUGUGCUGAAACAUCAAAUCAUUUGGUAAUGUGAACUAUCUCCCACUAGCGAUUAAACUGAGACUAAUUACUAGUCUUUCCCUCUAAAAUCUGGCUCUGAAUAAUCCCAGUGAUAAAAUUUUCACUCUGUAUUUUCCAUCUCCAUAACAAAAUGUAAUACAGAACUAUCUAUUUAACCAUCUAUUGGUACUAUUGUUUCCAACUACUUAAGGCCAGACUCAAGAAAAGAAAAGAUAAUUUUCUAUAAUCAUUGUUGGAGACUGCAUUAUAGCAGAUUAUAAUUUAACAGAAAGCUGAUUUGCUCAAAACUAUCAUUCCUUCCUUCAAAGCAUUUAUCCUCAUCUUCAAAGCCACCAACUGAUCCCCAAAAGCACUUUGGGUCAAAUCUAACACUGAUAAAUAACUCUACACUCUCUGAUGAGGUGGUAUCUCAGCUCAUGGCAGAAUAAAAUCACCAUGAUCCAGGAGAAAUGCUGACACAUGGCUGCAGCAAGGCACCUUUAGAAGAGAAUAGCACAAGCUUGGAAGUUGGCUGCAAUCCCUCUUUGGGGCAGGAGGAAGUAAAUAUAAGCCCAUGGCUGUAGUUCCCACAGGAGAGGAACAGCCAGCAACACCUCAGGAAUGACCUCAGACAGAUAGGGACAGCAGGUGGGUCUGAAGAAGGUGAAGGCAAUCAAGCAAGAGAUUAAGAAAGAAUGAACACAAAGAGGAAGUGGGGGGAAAAAAAACCAGAAGACAGAAGAAAUAAAGAGAGAAAAACGGAGGAAUUAAAGCCAGUGAGAGGAUGGAUACGAGGCAAAGAUAGUGUCAAAUGUGCUCAUAAGCUCAAGGAAAACAAAGCUCAACAUGAUUUUGUUUGAUGCAGGGAAAAGAAACAUCCCAUUACUGAAAUCUGUGACAGGCUACAGUAUUACUCUACUCUCCUGUGUCAGGAAAGAGCUAGUAUUGUUUUACCAGCCAGGGCAGACAUCAGACUGUGAGGGACAGCGAGAAAGAGAAAUGUCAGCUUGGCUGCUGUUUUGCAGGGUGGUAAAACUUACUUUUCACUAAAGUGGAGAGCUGAGAUAAACAAGGUCUUACCAUGGUUCCUGGCAAAAAGCCAUCCAUACUGCUUUGGUUGACCUCUUGUAGCUUUAAUCUUGCCCAAACUUACUUAAAUGUGUGUUGCGAAGCAAAUGCUCUCUGCAUGCUCUGCAGAACUGGGGCAGGUGAAAAGUUCACUGUUCCCUGAGCCCAGAAGGAGAGACAAGUUUGGUGGGUCUCCCAUAACUAGGAUUUGGCAGAAUUUUCCUAUCACUAUGUAGAUAUCCGGCUAUCUCAUUUGGAAAAAUAACAGGACCUACACUGAAACUGAAAGGCCAGGAGGGAAGCAGAGUCCCAAUGUGCUGUAUCUGCCACAGACAGGCACCGUGGCAAGCAAGCUGUGGGUGUCUGCUUUGCAUGGCUGCUGAAUAUCUUCUGAUAUACUGAAAUAAUGAUACAUACAUGGAAAAUUAUGUUGGAGCCAUUAAGUAGUUACUUUCAGCACUUGGAGAGUCAAUGCACUGUAUGGCCAGAUGUAGCUCAUCACCAGUUGGAGCUGAUUUCAGAAGAGGUGUUAGAGUUUGCUAGUCCAAGAGACGAUCUGAUCCAGGCAUCAAAGGGAGCCACAAGAGAAGUGUGUACUUUUCCCCUGCUUGCAAUUGUCUGCGGCACCGCCUGCUCACUUCUGACAGCCCCAUGCCACCCUCCCAGAGCAAGGGCUCCCACGUUCCCUUCUUUAGCCCUUCCCUCCCCAGCCCAAUCUACCAUCCUGCUGGCAGCCAGCUAAAGAGUGCAGACUUAGUGCCUGCACAAAAGUGAGGAGGAAUUACUAAUAAACACAAGCCUGUGCACUGGGAAAAUUAAGAGCCAGCUUCGUGCUGUGUGUUCACUUGACUCAUCCACACCUAUGCACUGAGCAAGGAGGUAGUUAUCUCCUCGCACUUCUCCUUUGUGGCUUUUAAACUUUUUCACUGUUUUGUGGGGAACGCAUUCUAAGUUAUGUGUGCAGCAUCUGUUGCCUGGUUUUUCUGACCCAUGCCAGAAGCUUUUCUAGUCUGAAACGACUGAAAUGGUUUAUUGGUGAGGCCCACAGUAUUCAAGAUACAAAAGGUUGAUCAAUACCCCAGCAGCAUGCAAAAAGAGUGUGAAAAUUUUUCUUACCCCUUCUUACAUCCUUAAAAAAAAUGUAUGCCUGAAAUAUUUACACCGAUCCUCCCCAAUUUCUAUCACUGGUUCUAAUCAGAGUUCAGUAUAUCUCUUGGGAAAAAAAGCCCUUGCAAGCAGUGAUAAGUAGAUAAUGUCAAUUACUGUGGUAUUCAUGCAGUAGAGCUUUGUUUUGUUAGACUCUGAUUCAGCCUCAUACAAAGGGUCCACCUGACACAUCGUGAACUUCAGAACCUAACUGGAAUUUCUCUGGGGUUUACAUUUUUCUUGAUGCUACAGAGGGUGACUUUUCUCUCUCUUACAGGUGUUCUGGGAGGGGGUCAUGGGAUUCUCUGACACAUUUAUAAAACAUUUAUGAAAAGCAUUAGCAACUUAAAGCUUUCUGUCUGAUGGUAUUUCUUCUCUUUCCAGUUUCUGGUCAGAUAAUCUUAAAGAGACUCUAACCAGCAGAGCAGGAAAACUUCAUUAGGAUGUUGCAAUCAAACUAGUAAAAUAGUUGUUUGGGUUUUCCAGCAUAUUUCCAGCACAUAUCUAUGUUGAAGUCAAAACCGGUAGUCCAGUUACAGACUUUCCAAGGUCAAAUUUUUGCCUGGUCAGACUUUAUGUUGGUUGCUUACAGUGUUCUGUUCCAAUAAAGACUAUUCAAAUCCACGGUCUCCAAGUGUGUGAAUGGAUGAACCAAUCAAAAUUCCCGUUGUAACAAUGCAUUAUAGGAUAUUAGAAUAGGAAAUAUAUAUAUCAGUGUUAGAAAAGAUGAGCUGUCAGUUUUGUUCUUCUCCUUUCACAUUUCUUUAUUUUCUUCCUUAUCAUCAUGCCAACGACAGCAGCUAACAAAACAUUUAAAAAAUGGAAAAAAACCCCCACCAUUGCCCCAGCAAUCACCAUUUGGAACAUUUUCAUAAAUGUUCUUUUCAAGACAUGCCCUACUCAAUGAAAUAGAUGCCUGAAAUCAUGCAUACUUCAACGUAUUUCCUUUUCACAUUCCUUCUGGACGUGUAUUUAUAUGCCAACUCGUCUUCAUAAAUUUCAUACUGGCCUUAUAAUAGCACAAAUUAAUGAUGCCACUAGAAAAGAACUCAGCUGCUUUCAAAGGAGCAAUAAUCAUGUCAGAGGUGCAGUUGGCAUGAAGAUGAUUGAGUUGCACCUCUUCUCUGAGAUAUUUUCAGGGAUGAAUCAUCCCUUACAUAACAUAUAGCAAUGGACAAAUUUUCCAUGUUAUUCUGAUACCUCAUGCCGUCACAUUUAAUUGUGUAACAGUCAGUCACUAUCGCAUAAAUUUGCUUCCUCAAUGAUUUGUUGUAAGACCGUGGUAGAUGUGUUUUUGGUAAGCUGAUUCGAGAUUUCAGGAGACGUGUCUGACACUGCACUGAUUGCAGGAACUGCAGGAUAGUGAUACACCUUUCUGAAGACAAACUCUCUUUCUGACUUUUUGGUGUGAGCUAAUUGAAACUCCUCUCUUGAACAUUAACUCCUUCAUUGUGAACAAUUAAAUGGGAAAAUUAUAGACAAUAAAAAAAUCACUUUAUUGUAAAUAAAAGGUCUUUAUUACACACUUUGCCUUUUUCAUAUGCUCAUAGAUCAAAAAUUUGCUUUACUGCUUGUGACAUUUUCCAGGCUAUGCCUUGCAUCUCUUUUUAAGGGAAGUUUAGAACAAUUAUUCAUCUAAUAUUGUAAGCUAAGUAUGCUCACCAAAAGCCACAUGCUCUUCCUGUACCACGGGACAGCUACAGCAUUGCUGAUGUGGC